AUGGUCAUAUCAUAUUGAAACACUGGUUCCUGUACAACCACCAAAAUUAAGCAAUGUCAAGCUUGGUCAGUACCUAGAUGGGUGACCGCUUGCGCAUACCAGGUGCUGUAAG